UAGGGAAUAUUGGACAAUGGGGGCAACCCUGAUCCAGCCAUGCCGCGUGAGUGAAGAAGGCCCUCGGGUUGUAAAGCUCUUUUGUCCGGAAAGAAAAGCAUUCGGUGAAUACCCGGAUGUUCUGACGGUACCGGAAGAAUAAGCACCGGCUAACUUCGUGCCAGCAGCCGCGGUAAUACGAAGGGUGCAAGCGUUACUCGGAAUUACUGGGCGUAAAGCGUGCGUAGGUGGUUGUUUAAGUCUGAUGUGAAAGCCCUGGGCUCAACCCGGGAAUGGCAUUGGAAACUGGGCAGCUAGAGUGCGGUAGAGGGUAGUGGAAUUCCCGCUGUAGCAGUGAAAUGCGUAGAGAUCGGGAGGAACAUCUGUGGCGAAGGCGACUGCCUGGACCAGCACUGACACUGAGGCACGAAAGCGUGGGGAGCAAACA
rnacentral:rRNA from 1 species